rnacentral:rRNA from 1 species
GAGGAAUAUUGCACAAUGGGCGCAAGCCUGAUGCAGCGACGCCGCGUGUGGGAUGAAGGGGCUACGCCUCGUAAACCACUGUAGCCCGGGACGAAAAACGCCUUAGAGGCGUUAGACGGUACCGGGAAAGUAAGGGUCGGCUAACUACGUGCCAGCAGCCGCGGUAAUACGUAGGACCCAAGCGUUGUCCGGAUUUACUGGGUGUAAAGGGUGCGCAGGUGGAUGGGUAAGUCAGGGGUGAAAGUCUGCAGCUUAACUGUAGAAUUGCCUUUGAUACUGCUCAUCUUGAGUGUGGGAGAGGUUGAUGGAAUUCCAGGUGUAUCAGUGAAAUGCGUAGAUAUCUGGAAUAACACCCGUGGCGAAGGCGGUCAACUGGCCCAUAACUGACGCUCAUGCACGAAAGCGUGGGGAGCAAA